rnacentral:rRNA from 1 species
UACGUAGGGACCGAGCGUUGUCCGGAUUCAUUGGGCGUAAAGAGCUCGUAGGCGGCCACUCAAGUCGAAUGUGAAACCUCGAGGCUUAACCUCGAGCCUGCAUUCGAUACUGGGUGGCUAGAGUCUGGUAGGGGGAUCUGGAAUUCCUGGUGUAGCGGUGGAAUGCGCAGAUAUCAGGAGGAACACCGGUGGCGAAGGCGGGAUCCUGGGCCAGUACUGACGCUGAGGAGCGAAAGCGUGGGGAGCGAACAGG